UGUGGGGUCUCAGUUCCCAGACCAGGCGUGAACCCGGGCCAUAGCCACUAGACCACCAGGGAACUCCCUUAGGUACAUUCUUUCAUUCUUUUUGUUCUUUUUUUUUUCCUUAGAUACAUUCGUAAAUUUUUUUUUAUCAAGGUGAAUUUCACAUAACUCAAAACUAACCAUUUUAUUUACCUAUUUUUUAUUUUUUUGCCUUUUUUUUUUUUUAAGGGCCUAGUCAGCAGCAUAUGGAAGUUCCUGGACUAGGGGUCAAAUCAGAUCUGCAGCUGCCAGCCUAUACCACAGCCACAGCAGCAACAAAUAUGAGCCACAUCUUCGACCUGCACCACAACUCACAGCAACCAAUGCCAGAUCCUUAAUUCACUGAGCAAAGCCAGGAAUCAAACUUGCAUGGAUACUAGUUGGGUUCAUUUCUGCUGAGCCACAACGGGAAGUCCCAAAUUAACCUUUUUUUUUUUUAAGGGCUGCACUCUCGGCAUGUGGAGAGGUUUCCAUGCUAGGGGUCUAAUCGGAGCUACAGCUGUUGGCCUGUGCCACAGCAAUACCAGAGCUAAGCAGCGUCUGUGACCUACACCACAGCUCACAGCAACGCUGGAUCCUUAACCUACUGAUCGAGGCCAGGGAUCGAACCUGCAACCUCAUGGCUCCUAGUGGGAUUCGCUUCUGCUGCUUCAUCAUGGGAACUCCCAAAUUAACCAUUUUAAAGUGAAUAAUUCAGUGGCAUUUAGUACAUUCACAUUGUUGUGCACCCACCAUCCAGCUCCAAAAUGUAUUCAUCACCACAAGGAAAUCUCAUUUCUCUCACGCAGCUCCUUCCCGUUGCCCGCUCUCCCCAGUUCCUCGUCCUUUGCAGGUGACGGUGUUCACAGGGUGUUUUGAGGCGUGGGGUAAUGCAGUCGUCUAAUCCUGUGGUACAGGGUUGGAAUUGAAGAAACCAGCAAGAAGUUCAAGAAGCAGUGGUGCUUUGAGCCAAGCCUUAGAGAUAGGAGUUUUCCCUGUGUUUCUGAUUUUAGGGUGUUUAUUACCUUUUUUUUUUUUUGGGUCUUUUUAGGACCGCUGGCAGCUACAGCUCCGAUUGACCCCUAGCCUGGGAAUCUCCAUAUGCCGUGGGUGCAGCCCUAAAAAGACAAAAAAAAAAAAAAAAUUAGUAUUAUAUGAUAUAAGCUGUAAAUGUUAAAAAAUUAUUUUGAGAAGUCUAAUCUUUCUUACAAAUUUCAAUCUGGAUUUUCUUUUAAAUUGUCUUGAACUGUGCUGUCCAAUAAUGUAGCCAUUAUUUAUUAUUUAUUUAUCUGUUUAUUUUGCUCUUUAUGGCCACAUCCACAGCAUAUGGAGGUUCCCAGGCUAGGGGUCCAAUCAGAGCUGUUGCCGCUGGCCUACACCGCAGCCACAGCAAUGCCAGAUCUGAGCCUUGUCUUGGACCUACACCACAGCUCAUGGCAAUGCCGGGUCCUUAGCCCACUGAGCGAGGCCAGGGAUGGAACAUGCACCCUCAUGGUUCCUAGUCGGAGUCUUUAACCACUGCACCACGACAGGAACUCCAGUGUAGCCAUUAUUUAAAUUUAAGUUUAUUAAAAUCAAAUAAAUGGAGAGUUCAGUUCUGUCCCAUUAGCCACAUUUCAGGUGCUCAGUAGAUGUCUGUAGACACUGUGCUGGACUGCGCAGAAUCGAACAUCUCCAUUUUCCCAGAGGGCACUGCUGGGCAGCUGUGACCUCGAGGUUCUGAUGAAGUGAAAGCUUUGUUCUUUUUAACUUCUGUACUGCUUCUGGAUUCUGCUGCUUUAAUCAAGGUACCUGGUGAAAUGUAUAUUGGAACAGCUGAUAAAUAUUAAGAUGGAUUUGUGCUGAAUUCCUCUAGUGGAGUAUUUGUGAAAAUACUGCUGUUAGGGUAUUCAAAGUUAGGCUUCUUGAGAAAGCAGGUAGAAAUUGAAAGCAUAGAAGAGCUUUGUUUUUUGAGGUGGUUAUCUAGUACCUAGUUAACGAAAAGGAUGAUGAAGCUGUACAGCUAUGUUGAAGAUAAGUGUAGGACUUAAAAAAUCAACAGUAUGAAGGCUCAGCAUUGUUUCUAAAGAUUAGGUUUUUAUUUAUUAUUAUUUUUUAAUUUUUAAUUUUUUUAAAUUUUUUUUGUCUUUUUUUUUGCUAUUUCUUGGGCCGCUCCCGUGGCACGUGGAGGUUCCCAGGCUAGGGGUCGAAUCAGAGCUGUAGCCACAGGCCUACGCCAGAGCCACAGCAACGCGGGAUCCGAGCCGCGUCUGCAACCUACACCACAGCUCACGGCAACGCCGGAUCGUUAACCCACUGAGCAAGGGCAGGGAUCGAACCCGCAACCUCAUGGUUCCUAGUCGGAUUCGUUAACCACUGCGCCAUGACGGGAACUCCCAAGAUUAGGUUUUUAAAAACAGCCUUAUGAGGUAUAAUUGACUUAAAAUAAGCUCUGCAUAUUUAAUGUGUACAAUUAUACGUCAGUGAGGCUGCUCGAAGCCCUGCUGCUUCCUGCUGCUGCUGUUCAGUCUUUUCUCUUUUGUUUUGGAUGCUUUCUAUUGCUUUACCUUUAAGUUUGCUAAUAUUUUCUUUUGCAAUGUCCAGUCUGCUCUUAAUACAUUGUAUGUAGUAUAUUUUUCAUCUCAGACAUUAUAGGUUUCAUAUCUAGAAGUUUGAUUUGGAUCUUUUUUUAAAAUGUAUUUUAUGUCCCUGCUUAACAUAGUCUUUCCUUUGAAUUCUCACAUUGAAAUACAGUUACAGUUGUCUUAAUACCUUUGUCCACUAAUUAUGUCAUCUCUCUCAUUUAUUUCUUUUUUCUUUUUUCUUUUUUUAGGGCCACACCCACGAAAUAUGGAGGUUCCCAGGCUAGGGGUCUAAUCAGAGCUGUAGCUGCCGGUCUGCGCCACAGCCACAGCAACACCAGAUCUGAGCCACAUCUGCGACCUACACCAUAGUUCACAGCAAUGCCAGAUCCUUAACCCACUGAGCGAGACCGGGGAUCCAACCCACAACCUCAUGGCUCCUAGUUGGGUUCACUAACUGCUGAGCCAUGACGGGAACUCUGAUUCCUAUAAAUAUUUUCUUGAGUUUUGUUCUGGAACAUGAUGCAGUUCCUUACAAAUGGUUUGUUCAUUUCAAAUCUUGUUAGGUGGGAUCAGAGCAGCAUUUAGUUUAGGGCUAAUUAUUUCCCACUACUGAGCCAAAACUCUUCUGAGUACUCUAAUAGUUUGUUAAUUCUGAGGUUUUCCACUCUGUUGGGAAUCAGUCCUCUUCUUGGCCCUGUGUGAGCCUCAUGAAUUAUCCUUGUUAUUCUUUUUUUGUUGUUGUUGUUGUCUUUUUGCCAUUUUCUUGGGCCGUUUUCGUGGCAUAUGGAAGUUCCCAGGCUAGGGGUCGAAUUGGAGCUAUAGCCGCUGGCCUAUGCCAGAGCCACAGCAACGUGGGAUCCAAGCCACGUCUGUGACCAACACCACAGCUCACGGCAACGCCGGAUCCUUCACCCACUGAGCAAGGCCAGGGAUCGAACCCGCCACCUCAUGGUUCCUAGUCAGAUUCGUUUCCACUGCACCACAACGGGAACUCCAGUCCUUGUUAUUCUUUUGGGUAGUUCUCCCUCCCGCUUUGCUGUUGUUUUUUGUUUUUGUUUUUUGCUUUUUAGGGCCAAACCCACGGCAUAUGGAAGUUCCCAGGCUUGGGGUCCAAUUGGAGCUCUUGCUUCCACCUUACACCACAGCCACAGCAACACCAACGUGGGAUCUGAGCCUCGUCUUCCACCUACAGCAUAGCUCACUGCAAUGCCAGAUCCUUAACCCACUGAGGGAGGCCAGGGAUCGAACCUACGUCCUCAUGGAUACUAGUCAGAUUGCCCCCCACCCCCGUUGGAUGCCCCUCAUCACAUGGAGCUCCCAGGCCAAGGAUCAGAUCCGAGCCGAAGACCUAAGCACUAGCUGCGGCAAUGCCAGAUCCCCAACCCACUGUGCCGGGCUGGGGAUCAAACCAGUAUCCUGGUGCUCCCAAGACGCUGCUGGUCCUGUUGCACCACAGUGGGAACUCCUGGGUGGUUCUUCAUAUGGAAACCUCAAGUAUUUUCUUCACAGGCGUCUGCUGGCCAGUACUGUCCUGAGUACGCAAGGAGGAGAGCUCUGGACUCCUCUUUCUGUGCAGCUCUCUCUUUUGUGGAUAACCUGCCCUGCAGACUCGAGCUGCCUUGUCCGCCUUGGCCUCAACUUGUCUCUAAGUGUGGGGAGACUGCCUAACUUCCCCUGGAUUCCUUCUCCCUGUGCUGCCAGUUGGAAACCCUCCAAGCAGUAAACUGGGGUGGUUGUAGGAUUUGCUUCAUUCUUUCCUUGUUUCUCAGGGAUCACUCUACUUCGUAACUUUGUGUCUUAAAAACUAUUGCUUUGUAUAUUCCAGUUUUCAGUUGUUCACCAUGGUGGAGUAAAUCUGGUUCAUGUCAUCCCACCUGCCUGGAAGCAGAAGUGUAAACUUUUUUUAAAAAAGGGAAGUAGGUAAUUCUCAUUGUGGCUCAGCGGAAACGAUCCUGCCUAGUAUCCAUGAGGACACAGGUGCGAUCCCUGGCCCUGCUCAGUGGGUUAAGGAUAUGGUGUUGCCAUGAGCUGUGGUGUAGGUCUGGCAUUGCUAUGGCUGUGGUGUAGGCUGGGAGCUCCAGCUCCAAUUUGACCCCCAAGCCUGGAAACUUCCAUAUGCCACAGGUGUGGCCC
rnacentral:lncRNA from 1 species